UUCUCUUAACUAUCACUCCCAGCCGCACCCUCACUCUACUCACUCUCUCUCUCUCGUUCCAUUUCUAUCUUCUCAUUGUAGGUCCGGCGUCGAUGGCGGGGUUUGGUUGAGUGCUUGUCGAUGAUGGAAGUGGCAUCACGUGCUCUAUUUCUCUCUCUCACUCGUCAAUGGGGAUUGGUCUAGGGCUCAUCGACGGUGGGGAUUGGUCACGAGCGGCAGUCCGUUGAUGGGGGUUUGUUUGUCUCUCUUUCCAUUUCUUUCUUUCUCUCUCGUUCUCUCUCUUUGUUGUUGUAGGUGGUCGGUGGGUGAAUUUACACAGGGCGGUGCGAUGGGGGCUCGACUUGUGCCAGACUCUGUUUCUUCUAGUGGCACUUUGUUCACUAUUAAGUAUCACGAUGGAGGAAACAAGAGCAUAAUUAAUCAUGGAUUGGAGGGUGGAGCUAUCUUCGAACUUUAAUUUCUUUGUGUAUUUGAUUAUGUUUUGUUGUUCACAGGUGAAAUGUGUGAAGGACUAGGAGUUUGUUAUGUCUUGUGUAUACUUCAAAAAUUUAGUUAGAACUAAGAAUCUUACGAAGUGGUGAUAGUUAUGGUUUAAAUUGAAUAUUGUAACUUUGAUUUAAUUAAUGUAUAAUGUUAUAAUACUCAUAGUUUGUGAGAUA